UACGUAGGGGUGCGAGCGUUGUCCGGAAUUAUUGGGCGUAAAGGGCUCGUAGGCGGUUUGUCGCGUCGGGAGUGAAAACACACAGCUUAACUGUGUGCUUGCUUCCGAUACGGGCAGACUAGAGGUAUGCAGGGGAGAACGGAAUUCCUGGUGUAGCGGUGAAAUGCGCAGAUAUCAGGAGGAACACCGGUGGCGAAGGCGGUUCUCUGGGCAUUACCUGACGUGAGGAGCGAAAGUGUGGGGAGCGAACAGG
rnacentral:rRNA from 1 species